rnacentral:rRNA from 1 species
AUACGUAGGGUGCGAGCGUUAAUCGGAAUUACUGGGCGUAAAGCGUGCGCAGGUGGUUUUGUAAGUCAGAUGUGAAAUCCCCGGGCUUAACCUGGGAACUGCGUUUGAAACUGCAAGGCUAGAGUGUGGCAGAGGGGGGUGGAAUUCCGCGUGUAGCAGUGAAAUGCGUAGAGAUGUGGAGGAACACCGAUGGUGAAGGCAGCCCCCUGGGUCAGCACUGACGCUCAGGCACGAAAGCAUGGGGAGCAAACAGGAUUAGAAACCCCGGUAGUCC